rnacentral:misc_RNA from 1 species
AAAGCGCGAUAUGUAGUGUGAAUUGCAGAACUGCGAGUCAUCGAAACUUUGAACGCACAUUGCACUUGGUGGUUAUUCCGCCAAGUAUGCUUGUUUGAGUGUCUGAUUAUUCUCUCCACUAUUCAGUUAGUGGGUUACUGGUCUCAUAUUUUACGAUAUUUGGCUUAAAUUCAGUCAGUGAGGAAGUUGCUUUUAAGCAAACUUGUUCUUUGCAUUGUCCAUGUCAAAAGCAGGGGCAGUAAGAAGAGUAAGCGUGAGUAAAAGUGGCAAUUUUACUGUCCAACUCCUUUUUUUUUACAGCGUAGCAAUACGCAGUAAAUCUGAACAAUGGACCUCAAAUCAAGCAAGGUUACCCGCUGAACUUAA